rnacentral:rRNA from 1 species
GCAUAUCAAUAAGCGGAGGAAAAGAAACCAACAGGGAUUGCCUCAGUAGCGGCGAGUGAAGCGGCAAGAGCUCAGAUUUGAAAUCUCACCUAGUGUGCGAGUUGUAAAUUGCAGGUUGGAGUCUCGGGUUAGACGUGUGUGCAAGUCCCUUGGAACAGGGCGCCACUGAGGGUGAGAGCCCCGUAGCGUGCAUGUCGACACCUGUGAGGCCCUUCUGACGAGUCGAGUUGUUUGGGAAUGCAGCUCUAAGUGGGUGGUAAAUUCCAUCUAAGGCUAAAUAUUGGCGAGAGACCGAUAGCGAACAAGUACUGUGAAGGAAAGAUGAAAAGCACUUUGAAAAGAGAGUGAAACAGCACGUGAAAUUGUUGAAAGGGAAGGGUAUUGGGCUCGACAUGGGAUUUACGCAUCGUUGCCUCUCGUGGGCGGCGCUCUGGGUUUUUCCUGGGCCAGCAUCGGUUUUCGUUGCAGGAUAAGGACAAUUGGAAUGUGGCUCCUCGGAGUGUUAUAGCCUUUUGUAGAUGCUGCGUAUGGGGACCGAGGGCUGCGGCGGACUCGUUUCGUCUCGGAUGCUGGCACAACGGCGCAAUACCGCCCGUCUUGAAACACGGACC